rnacentral:rRNA from 1 species
GAUGAACGCUGGCGGCGUGCUUAACACAUGCAAGUCGAACGGAAAGGCUCCUGCUUGCAGGGGUACUCGAGUGGCGAACGGGUGAGUAACACGUGGGUGAUCUGCCCUGCACUUCGGGAUAAGCCUGGGAAACUGGGUCUAAUACCGGAUAGGACGAUGGUUUGGAUGCCAUUGUGGAAAGUUUUUUCGGUGUGGGAUGAGCUCGCGGCCUAUCAGCUUGUUGGUGGGGUAAUGGCCUACCAAGGCGUCGACGGGUAGCCGGCCUGAGAGGGUGUACGGCCACAUUGGGACUGAAGUACGGCCCAGACUCCUACGGGGGGCAGCAGUGGGGAAUAUUGCACAAUGGGCGCAAGCCUGAUGCAGCGACGCCGCGUGGGGGAUGACGGCCUUCGGGUUGUAAACUCCUUUCGCUAGGGACGAAGCGCGAGUGACGGUACCUGGAGAAGAAGCACCGGCUAACUACGUG